AGCCAUUUUAUGUCACCUCUUGCAAUGAUGACUGGAUUGACUAACUAAAGUUAACUCUAUUACCAGUAUUAAUGGGGAUUACAAGUGCAAAAGCAGCAGGGGAGGGGGAGGAGAGGGAAAUACGUGGAAAAGGAGACUAGAAAUCGUAGAAUCACAGCCUGGUUUGGGUUGGAAGGGACUUUGAGAUCACUUCUAUCACACUUGCUCCUGGCAGUGACGAUGACUCCUUCAGGAUCGUCAGCCCCAUUUCACAGGUGAGGAAACUGAGGCACGGAGUCCCAUCAACCAGGAAUAAAGCCCAGUCACCCAGCCAUGACAACAGAGGAGGUUACACCAUGUUGAAGCUGAUGAUGUUCUUCAACCCCUAAUCACAGACCAGACUCAGCCGAAGUGGCAUGCCCAUUCCAUGCAUCCCGAUGGGAGUGAGAAAGCUGCUGCUGUGAUUUAGUUUGUCCAGGAUCAGACUCCUUAAUGGGCUCUUUUGCCUCCAGCCCCUGGCUGCUAUUUGCUUUCCCUGCUGGCUGGCAGCCUUUUCCCUGCCUGUGGGCAGAGCGGCUAAUGGAGUUGAGGAGCCGGUGCUGAGACAAUGCGAACAAAUGCAAAUCAGGCAGCAUGACGUGUCUCCUAAGGUGUUAAUGAACUUAUAGAUGCAUGAAUAAUUAUUUGUGAAAAGCACGGCGAGCUGCAGAGGUCACAGAUGGCUGGAGAAUAACAAAUGCAAUGACAUUUAGCGGGGGGAAAGAAGAGUCACGCUGGCACUUUGCAGCCGGAAAGGCUCCAGCAAAGCAGAGACAUGGUGAGAUCAUUUCAAAGGAUGCUGUUGAGGUUGAGCCCGGGCUUGAAAGGCCACAAGAAGCUUAAGGAGGGUAAAUGAAGACGCAGCGAGGGAAAUAAUGUACGGGGAGGAGGGAAAGCAGGGAGGUCUUGGGGUGAAGGCAUGGAGCAAGUAAAGGGUGCUGUGCAGUGCUCAUCACCACUCAUUAGAAAGGAUGGAUUUGUUUUAACUUGAUCCAUCAUUUCAUUGGCAAACUUGAAGCAUCUUGUUAGGAAUUCAUUGAGCAGCUGAAGCCUGGAUCUCUAAUGGCCAGAAGAGGAUGCUCAAAGAGCAAAGAAGAGGAGGAGGAACAGUGGGGGAUCCCUGAGGACUCUGGAGAGAGAAGAAAUUGGGAAGCAUUUACUGGGAAUGCUGUUGCCAAGAGCAGAUGAUGAAGGGGAGGCUCUGGUCAAGGCAUCGGACGGGGCUUUGUUGUCUUCUCCCUGCCAGGAAAAGCCCCUGGAUUUGGCCAGAAGAGGGGGAAACUCACCUUCUCCCAGUCCAGCAGCCAGGCUGUUAUGCUCUGUCAUCUUGCACCUGAAGUGCUUGCCUCCCCUCUUUGCGCUUAAAUAGCCCCUUUAUAUCAUGCUGUAACCAAACCACCUCUCAAAAGUCUGGCUGAUAAAGCUAGAACAUGAGCUCUGUAAACCGCUCCCUGUAAGGCAUUUAUUUCCCUGCUAUCAAAUAAAUGUCAUUCUUUUUCUGCACCA